UUACGGCCAAAUCACGUUGAAACACCUGUUUCCGUACGAUCCCCGAAGUUAAGCAAAAUCGAACCUGGUCAGUAGCAAGGUGGUUGACCGCUUGGGGAUACCAG